CACAAAAAAUAUGCAGGCUGUACGCCGCUGUGCCCUCUCGGGGGCUAGUGGCAAAGGCUGAAAUAUUUUUCACCCAUGUCUUUUGCGCACUUGUUGUUUCCUGGGCGGGCUCGCCCGCCACCAGGACCACACCUUAAACCUUUUUUUAUGCAGUUGCAAUCAGCGUCAGUAUAACAAAUGUAAAAUCAUUUA
rnacentral:misc_RNA from 1 species